CGCGUAGGCGGUUUGUUUAGUUAGGCGUGAAAUUCCUGGGCUUAACCUGGGGACUGCGCUUAAUACAGGCAGACUUGAGUUCGGAAGAGGGUCGUGGAAUUCCCAGUGUAGAGGUGAAAUUCGUAGAUAUUGGGAAGAACACCGGUGGCGAAGGCGGCGACCUGGUCCGAUACUGACGCUGAGGCGCGGAAGCGUGGGGAGCAAACA
rnacentral:rRNA from 1 species